AUGAACGCUGGCGGCGUGCCUAAUACAUGCAAGUCGAGCGAACAGACGAGGAGCUUGCUCCUCUGACGUUAGCGGCGGACGGGUGAGUAGCACGUGGAUAACCUACCUAUAAGACUGGGAUAACUUCGGGAAACCGGAGCUAAUACCGGAUAAUAUAUUGAACCGCAUGGUUCAAUAGUGAAAGACGGUUUUGCUGUCACUUAUAGAUGGAUCCGCGCCGCAUUAGCUAGUUGGUAAGGUAACGGCUUACCAAGGCAACGAUGCGUAGCCGACCUGAGAGGGUGAUCGGCCACACUGGAACUGAGACACGGGCCAGACUCCUACGGGAGGCAGCAGUAGGGAAUCUUCCGCAAUGGGCGAAAGCCUGACGGAGCAACGCCGCGUGAGUGAUGAAGGUCUUCGGAUCGUAAAACUCUGUUAUUAGGGAAGAACAAAUGUGUAAGUAACUAUGCACGUCUUGACGGUACCUAAUCAGAAAGCCACGGCUAACUACGUGC
rnacentral:rRNA from 1 species